rnacentral:rRNA from 1 species
AGAGUUUGAUUAUGGCUCAGGAUGAACGCUAGCUACAGGCUUAACACAUGCAAGUCGAGGGGCAGCAUGAAAGGAACUUCGGUUCUUUUUGAUGGCGACCGGCGCACGGGUGCGUAACGCGUAUCGAACCUGCCUCAUACUCGGGGAUAGCCUUGCGAAAGUAAGAUUAAUACCCGGCGGUCUCGGAUGGCCGCAUGACUGUCCGAGUGAAGAUUUAUCGGUAUGAGAUGGCGAUGCGUCCCAUUAGCUUGUUGGUGGGGUAACGGCUCACCAAGGCAUCGAUGGGUAGGGGUUCUGAGAGGAAGGUCCCCCACAUUGGAACUGAGACACGGUCCAA